AGGCAGGUCUCUGGGCCGUUACUGACGCUGAGGAGCGAAAGCGUGGGGAGCGAACAGGAUUAGAUACCCUGGUAGUCCACGCCGUAAACGGUGGAUGCUGGAUGUGGGGCCCGUUCCACGGGUUCCGUGUCGGAGCUAACGCGUUAAGCAUCCCGCCUGGGGAGUACGGCCGCAAGGCUAAAACUCAAAGAAAUUGACGGGGGCCCGCACAAGCGGCGGAGCAUGCGGAUUAAUUCGAUGCAACGCGAAGAACCUUACCUGGGCUUGACAUGUUCCCGACCGCUCCAGAGAUGGGGCUUCCCUUCGGGGCGGGUUCACAGGUGGUGCAUGGUCGUCGUCAGCUCGUGUCGUGAGAUGUUGGGUUAAGUCCCGCAACGAGCGCAACCCUCGCCCCGUGUUGCCAGCGGAUUAUGCCGGGAACUCACGGGGGACCGCCGGGGUUAACUCGGAGGAAGGUGGGGAUGACGUCAGAUCAUCAUGCCCCUUACGUCCAGGGCUUCACGCAUGCUACAAUGGCCGGUACAACGGGAUGCGACGCGGCGACGCGGAGCGGAUCCCUGAAAACCGGUCUCAGUUCGGAUCGCAGUCUGCAACUCGACUGCGUGAAGGCGGAGUCGCUAGUAAUCGCGAAUCAGCAACGUCGCGGUGAAUGCGUUCCCGGGCCUUGUACACACCGCCCCGUCAGUCAUGAAAGUGGGCAGCACCCGAAGCCGGUGGCCUAACCCCUUGUGGGAUGGAGCCGUCUAAGGUGAGGCUCGUGAUUGGGACUAAGUCGUAACCAGGUAGCCGUACCGGAAGGGUGCGCUG
rnacentral:rRNA from 1 species